CAUGUCUUUUUGAUAUUUAUUUAAAGWCUGAUCUGCCCACUGAUGAAGUUUAAAGGGCCGCAGUAUUCUAACUGUGCAAAGGUAGCAUAAUAAUUAGUCUUUUAAUUGAAGGCUUGUAUGAAUGAUUGGACGAGAUAUAAGCUGUCUCAAAUUAAAUUGUUAGAAUUUUAUUUUUUAGUUAAAAAGCUAAAAUUUAUUUAAAAGACGAGAAGACCCUAUAGAUCUUAAUGUUAUUAAUUUUAAUAUUUUAUAGGAUUUUUUAUAAAAUUAAUUUUAUAUAAUAUUUUAUUGGGGUGAUAUUGAAAUUUGUAAAACUUUCAAUUUAUCGUAAAACAUUAAUUUAUGAAUUAUUGAUCCAUUAUUAUUGAUUAAAAAUUUAAGUUACCUUAGGGAUAACAGCGUAAUUAUUUUGGAGAGUUCAUAUCGAUAAAAUAGAUUGCGACCUCGAUGUUGGAUUAAGAUUAAUUUUGGGCGCAGCAGUUCAAAAUAUUAAKUCUGUUCGACUUUUAAUAUCU
rnacentral:rRNA from 1 species